rnacentral:rRNA from 1 species
CAGCCGCCGCGGUAAUACCGGCGGCCCGAGUGGCGGUCACUAUUAUUGGGCUUAAAGCGUCCGUAGCCGGGUUGGGAAGUCCUCCGGGAAAUCUGGCCGCUUAACGGUCAGAAUGCCGGAGGAUACUCCCAGCCUAGGGAGCGGGGGAGGCCGAGGGGAUUCCCGGGGUAGGGGGGAAAUCCUAUAAUCCCGGGAGGACCACCUGUGGCGAAGGCGCUCGGCUGGGACGCGUCCGACGGUGAGGGACGAAGGCCAGGGGAGCAAACCGGAUUAGAUACCCGGGUAGUCCUGGCUGUAAACGAUGCGGACUUUGUGUCGGACAAGCUAUGAGCUUGUCCGGUGCCGGAGGGAAACCGUUAAGUCCGCCGCCUGGGGAGUACGGCCGCAAGGCUGAAACUUAAAGGAAUUGGCGGG